rnacentral:rRNA from 1 species
CGUGAGCAACCUGCCUUUAUCAGGGGGAUAACGCAUCGAAAGAUGUGCUAAUACCGCGUAAGACCACAGCUUCACAUGGAGCGGGGGUCAAAGGAGCAAUUCGGAUAAAGAUGGGCUCGCGUCCGAUUAGCUAGUUGGUGAGAUAACAGCCCACCAAGGCGACGAUCGGUAGCCGACCUGAGAGGGUGAUCGGCCACAUUGGAACUGAGAGACGGUCCAG